rnacentral:rRNA from 1 species
UACGUAGGGUGCAAGCGUUGUCCGGAAUUAUUGGGCGUAAAGAGCUCGUAGGCGGUUUGUCGCGUCUGCUGUGAAAACUCGGGGCUCAACUCCGAGCUUGCAGUGGGUACGGGCAGACUAGAGUGCGGUAGGGGAGACUGGAAUUCCUGGUGUAGCGGUGAAAUGCGUAGAUAUCCGGAGGAACACCGGUGGCGAAGGCGGCUUCCUGGACCGACACUGACGCUGAGGCGCGAAAGCUAGGGGAGCAAACGGG